rnacentral:rRNA from 1 species
CCCUUAGAUGUUCUGGGCCGCACGCGCGCUACACUGAUGAAUGCAACGAGCCCUACCCUUGACCGAAAGGCCCGGGUAAACUUGUGAAACUUCAUCGUGAUGGGGAUAGAUUAUUGCAAUUAUUAAUCUUCAACGAGGAAUUCCUAGUAAGCGCGAGUCAUCAGCUCGCGUUGAUUACGUCCCUGCCCUUUGUACACACCGCCCGUCGCUCCUACCGAUUGAAUGGUCCGGUGAAAUCUUCGGAUUGCUGACCAGAUUCCAGCAAUGGAGCUUGGUUGCGAGAAGUUGAUUAAACCUUAUUAUUUAGAGGAAGGAGAAGUCGUAACA